rnacentral:rRNA from 1 species
UACGUAGGUGGCAAGCGUUUGUCCGGAAUUAUUGGGCGUAAAGCGCGCGCAGGCGGUCCUUUAAGUCUGAUGUGAAAGCCCACGGCUCAACCGUGGAGGGUCAUUGGAAACUGGGGGACUUGAGUGCAGGAGAGAAGAGUGGAAUUCCACGUGUAGCGGUGAAAUGCGUAGAUAUCAAGAGGAACACCUGCGGCGAAGGCGGGUUGCUGGGCCGACACGUGACGCUGAAGCGCGAAAGCUAGGGGAGCGAACGGG